CUUUGGCAGCAUUGAAUAAUGGAUCAUGUGCUUCCAAUCUCAAAAUCUUGGCAUAUCCUUCAGCUUUGGAAGCAGGAACAAUGAUGCUGAGCCCCACAACAUGAUCAUGAACAGAACCACCUUUCCCCCACCAAGAACUCCCAUGUGCCCCUGUGCUAAUAAGUCCUCCAAUUGUUACCCCUGAAUGAAGGAAAUAAAUAAGAGAAGUUAUAUCAUCUUGAAGGAUAAAAUUCAUACACAAUGUUGAUCGAAAUAAGGAAGUGACAAUAAGAGAUGUUGACGAGGAUCAUGAAGGAUCUCUAUUACGAAUUUACAAUACCUUCCCAAUAAGGUGAGGCCACCAAACUAAACCCAGAGGCUUCAACGGCGUCAAUCAACUGGCGAAGGCCAACACCAGCAUCAACGGUGACAACAGAAUUGGCAACAUCUAUCUGUAUUUGACGAUUAUAACGCUCCGUACUAAUAACAAAACUGUUUUGGACCGCUUGGUCAGGGCAGGCGAGCUUGGGGAUGGUAUGUGAGAAUUUUGUGACCACCUUCGCUUUUAGAUUGUGUUCCACAGCAAACGAGACGGCCACGUGAAGCUCUUGUUCCGUUGUUGGGUAGGUUGCGUUGAGGGCAUAACAGUCUUUUCGAUCACCCCAUUUUCCAUAGCUGUUGUGGAGAAUACAAAAUGUUUGGUUGCAUUGAAGUGGAGAUUCUGGAAUCCGAGCCUCAAUGGUUUGAAUCGUUAACGGAAGUAUGUGAUUGAAAGCAAGAAGGCACCAAAUCAAAAAGAUAUAGGUCAAGAGGCACCUCGUUGAGCGUCUGAAGACCAUCCUUACAAGCGAAGAAUUGUCUUUUGGGCUAUUAUAUUUUACUUUAGGUUAUGUAUAUAUGUAUAUAGAAUCUCCACAUGUAUAUUUUGUAUUUUGUCCUUCCUAGAUGUUAACUUGGAGAAACAUGUGUUUAUUCUAUAGUUUGAGUUAUAUUUUGGGUUAUAUAUAUAAUAACGUACUCUGGCCGGCCUUAACUGGGGGUGGCAAGCGGGGAAGCCCGCCCCGCCCCGUUCCGCCCCGCUCUACCUAGUGAGGCGGUCCCAGAAUCCCAGUCCGCCCCGCCUAACGGCGGGCUGGCGGGCCAAACCCGCCAAAUAUCCUUUUUUUACUUUUAACUAUUAAAUAAUAGACAA